UGUAGUCAUAUGCUUGUCUCAAAGAUUAAGCCAUGCAUGUCUAAGUAUAAGCAAUUAUACGGCGAAACUGCGAAUGGCUCAUUAUAUAAGUUAUCGUUUAUUUGAUAGUACCUUACUACUUGGAUAACCGUGGUAAUUCUAGAGCUAAUACAUGCUUAAAAUCCCGACUUCGGAAGGGAUGUAUUUAUUAGAUUAAAAACCAAUGCCCUUCGGGGCUCUCUGGUGAUUCAUGAUAACUUCUCGAAUCGCAUGGCCUUGCGCCGGCGAUGGUUCAUUCAAAUUUCUUCCCUAUCAACUUUCGAUGUUUGGGUAUUGGCCAAACAUGGUUGCAACGGGUAACGGGGAAUGGGGCGGGGGCGGCGGGCCGGGCGCGGGGCGCGGCGGGCGGCA
rnacentral:rRNA from 1 species